rnacentral:lncRNA from 1 species
ACUCUGGCACACCGCUGUCAUGAGUAGGUUUCUUGGACCCUCUCUCUGGCACGGGUCAGCCUCUUUCCUCUGAGACCCAGCUUGGAUGCCACGUCCUCUGGUGAACGUUCCAGGUCACCCCAGCUGGCCAGCAGCCGCUCCCCACUCUCUGCAGUCCCAGGGCCUGAGCUUCACCUCCCCCCCUUGCAUUUGCCGGGUCAGACACUCGCCUCCCUAACAACACAGUCAACUCGGUGAUGAGAGGAUUUUUUGCUUUUUUUUUUUUUUUUUUCCGGCUGUGCCCAUGGCAUGCAAAAUUCCCAGGCUAGGGGUCGAAUCAGAGCUAUAGCUGCCGACCUACAAAAGUCAUGUGUUUGAAUCCUAGCUGUCCUAUCACUAGCUGUGUGUCUCUAGGCAAGUUACUUAACGUCUCUGAACCAUAGGGUUUUGGUUUUUGUUUUUCUUCUUCUUUUUCUUUUUACGGCCAUACCUGUGUGGCAUAUGGAAGUUCCCAGACUAGGGGUCAAAUUGGAGCUAUAGCUACUGGCCUACACCAUAGCCAGGGCAACACCAGAUCCAAGCCACAUCUGCGAAUUUUGCCGCAGCUUGAGGCAACACUGGAUCCAUAACCCACUGAGCAAGGCCAGGGAUCAAACCUGCUUCCUCAGAGACAAUGUCGGGUCCUUAACCUGCUGAGCCAUAGCGGGAACUCCAGGGUUUUUUGUUUUUUUUUUUCCAAAUAACUUCUUUAAAGUGAUGCCUUCCAUCUUAGAGUGUUCUUAUGGGACUGAGAGGCAGCUAUAGCCUGGUGUCUGGCAAGUACCAAAGUCUCAAGUACUAAUGCUGCUCUGCUUUUACUUAAGAGGCAGGAGUAAGCGCUAAUGAUACUGGGCUGCUCAAGUUUUAAUUAGUAUAAAAACUGGUGUGUCGAGGGGGGUAGGGGUCGGGGUUGAGGAUCAAGGGUCAGGGUUUUCAUCUUUACAGACCAGAUAGGAGUUCUGAACGCAAGUGCUAGGAAGUGCUUCCAGGCUUGGGGUGAGAUGUAGGGGCUGGUGGGAGAGAGCCCAGUGCAGACCGAGAAGAGCCCCUGCCAGGUUCUUGGGAAGGAGAUUGAGCCAGGCAGUGUGGACGGGCAGGGCUGAAGGGGUCCGAGGAGGUCUUCAGUCGAAACGAACCCUGACAUGGCAUAGGGAGGAAACUAAGGCCCGGAAAGGAUGGGCUUGUGGCCCCCAACCCUCAGCUGUCCCGUGACUUAGCCCCUGGUUAAGGAUGUGUCAUGCGGGAGGCUGUGACAGUGAAGUUUGGCUGCACCCAGAGCCCUGGGGGAAGUCCCUGGGGGGGGGGGGGUCAAAGCAGGGCUGAUUGGUGGUGACCUGAUGGCUUGGUGGCAUAAGCCAGUUGGUCUGUGUUUAGGGACUGGCAGUCCUCAUCCCCCCAGGAUGAAGGGGUGGGGGGCAGCCAGGGAAUGGAGGGCACGGAGGUGCUGGUGUUGGGAUGUUUCCUUGGAGAGAAAUGUUGGGGAAAGGGGGCAGGUUCAAUUUCUGGGCCCAAAUUCAAGUCUGCUGGGCUUUGUUCUGUCAUUGCUUCCUGUCUUUCCAUAUUACUUCUCGGUUCUCCUCUGAUGGGGGGGUCAGGGAUCCUCCAUUGCUUCUCUUCGUAAAGGGGUUUUGCAGAAAUGAAUCCCUCUGGCCACCUCCACCUUUCCACUCCCCACCCAGUCUCAGUGGCCCGGGUUUACCUUUCCAACUAGAGGCAGCUCAGAGCCUGAGGAGAAGCUCUGCUCCUCUGGCCCAGACUUCCCAGUUGCCAAAGACAAAGAUAGGUGGCUUCCUAAAUCUGGCUGAGCAAGUUCCGACAACUCCAGGCCUCGGCAGCCCCAUCUGCGCCCAGAGAAGGCUCACCACUCAGGGCCUGUGCAGGGCAGUUCUCAUCCUGCCGGUGAUCAUGGCAGGGAAGCCAGAGCGGCAGUGCUGGCCUUCUUGAGUGAAUGCCCAGGGUGCUCUAGGCCGCUUACUGACAUCAGACCGUUUGCUCUUCGCUGACACCCGGUAAGGAAUGUGGAAGAUGCUGUUAUGACCUUGGCGUCCCAGAGGAGGAACCUGAGGUUCUCAGAGGUUAAGACCUCAGGCUCAGGGCCCCCCAGAUAGGAAGGCAAAGCCAGGAGGCAGACCCCAGCCUGUCUGACUUCACAGUCUCUGCUGGAGGGAAGGAGGUGCUAGAGCAGAGGUGGGAGAGAAACUGCGGCCGUGAGAGAUGGAAGCAGUUCCUUCUCCUGGUGGAGGAGAAGCAGGCUGCCUUUGGGGGCUCCCAGACCCUCUCCUGAUCUCGAGGGGAACUUAGAGAUUGGUACGCAUUCUAAACUGAGCUCUAGAGCCUGGUCCUCGCUAACGGAGGAAAGCUGCUGGGGGGCUGGGGCAGAUGGGGAGGGGGCAUUGAUGUAUGAAGACGGGCUCUGGUGAGGCAGUGACCAGACCACAGCCUGAACGCUGGAGUCCUGGCUUUCAAUCCCAGCUCUGUCCCUGUAGCCAUGCGAUCUCAGAUACGACAUUUUCUUCCUUGGACUCCAAUUUUCUGAUCUCUGCCUCGAAGCUAGAUGCUUUCCAGCUGAGAGCCUGUGUUUGUUGUUGUUUGUCUUUUCAGGGCCACACUCGUGGCAUAUGAAGGUUCCCAGGCUAGAGGUCAAAUCAGAGCUGUAGCCACCAGCCUACAUCAGAGCCACAACAACUCCAGAUCCGAGCCACGUCUGCGACCUACACCACAGCUCAUUGCAACACCAGAUCCUUAACCGACUGAGCAGGGCCAGGGAUUGAACCUGCAACCUUAUGGAUACUAGUCAGGUUCGUGACCACUGAGCCAUGACGUGAACUCCAUGGGUCUGUGGUUUUAGUCUUGGAUGUGCAGAAGGGCCCUGAGAAGGGGAGGAAAGAACAGAGUUAAGAGGGGGUCCUGGGGAGCAGGGCAUCCUCAGGAACAUAAACAUGCCCAGGAGCUGUCGAGCAGACCGCCCUUAAAAGGGCAAAUAUGCGGCGCUCCACCGGGCCCUGCUCUGCAGGGACUGGACGGCACUUCCUGUGUGGCGGGUCUGGGUCUGCUUCCUCCUUCCUCCCCCUCCUGCGGCUGCUCUGCCUUACUCCCUGUACUCAGGGGAGACUUUGGAAAGAUUUAAGAAAGAUUUAAGGACAGGUAUGGCAGGGCGCCAGCCAAUCAGAGCAGUCACAGCUGUGAACAGCUGGGGUAAGACUAACAGGGUACGCCAGCUGUAUGCCAGCCCUGCUCCCACCCCCAGACUCCCCACCUACCCAGUAAAGCCCGGCUCAGGAGCCUUAGGGCGACGAAGGACAGAAGGGAGGGGAGGGAGUGAAGAAGCCACAAGUCGAGGAGGUGAAGGCAGCCCAUCCCUCCCUAAACCCCAUCCACCCAGCCUCGCCAGCGCCUCUAGGAUCUGCCUUCCUGUGCUUUGUGCCCGGAACCAAGCAGCCUUGCCCUCCAGCUGUAUCUAGGAGGCUGAUGAAACAAAGGGGACCUGGUCUGGACUCUGUAUCCUCAGCCCAAACUGACAACGGGCAGGGGACCCAGGGUCGUCCCCUAUCUGCCUGCAGAAUUAGUGUUUUACUGAGCCUGACAAUCAGGGGCCAGGGCUUUGUCCCCUGCUUGGCCGUUGGUCAUUGCGUGCCCUGGAAAGCCUCAGCACCUCCCUUGCUCCCUUGAGUUCCUCAGCCGCUGCCUAUUUCGGGUCUUUCCAGCAUAAACGAGGCUUCUGCAUCAGCCUACAGGCUGUUUCCUCCACCCCCAGCCUCGAGACUGUCCCCUUGUUCCCUGCAAGGGUUCCUGACGGCUUAACUGCUAGGAAUCAGGUUUCAACCAAGAUCUCUUGACUGAUUGUUAAAGACCCCUCUUUUCCUUUUCCAUGAGUACAGGUUGUUUCCAAAUUGACCAAGAAAUAUUGAGCACCUACUAAGCAAAAGCCAUCUUAUUAGCCAUAAAAAUGGGGGGGGUGGGUGUCAAAGAAGCAGGAGGCAGGGCACCUGCCCUCAAGCUUCACUGUAGCUGUGGAGAGCCAGUAUUUACAUACAAUGGCCAAUAAUAAAAGGCAACCUCAGAUAGUGUGUUAUUUGAGGUGCUCCUGGGUCAGUUAAACAGUUUGUCAUAAAGCUUAGAAUGCCCUUGUGGCUUAUCCAGUUAAGGAUCUGACUUUGUUACUGCUGUGACUCUGGUUACUGCUGUGGUGUGGGUUCGAUCCUUGGCCUGGGAACUUUCACAUGCUGCAGAUGUGGCUGGGGGGAAAAAAAGGAAAGAUUAAGUGGAGCCUGUAAAAUACUCUUGAAUGAUGAUUAAAUGCAUCAUGACCUCUAUGAGAGACCAGUUCAGGUGUCUAAGUGAUUAGCUGGAUUGUUAGCACUUAGGAACUAAAGCAGUGCUCUCCUUGGGUUCACUAGGAACAAGUUAUGCCACAUUUAUCUCUUUUUUUUUUUUGUCUCUUCAAGGCCCCACCCGCGGCAUAGGGAAGUUCCCCACCCGCAGCAUAGGCUAGGGGUUGAAUCAGAACUGCAGCUGCCAGCCUGUACCACAGCCACAGCAACGCCAGAUCUGAGCCACGUCUGCAACCUAAACCAUAGCUCAUGGCAGUGCUAGAUCCUUAACCCACUGAGUGAGGCCAGGGAUCGAACCCAGGUCCUGAUGGAUACUAGUCGGGCUGGUUACUACUAAGCCAAGAUGGGACCUCCCACAUUUUUAUCUUUUAUCUUUUUUUUUUUUUAAGUAAGGAAGACCUUAGACUUGGCAUAUUUGGAGAUCCACAAGGACUCAGGAAACACUCUCCUGUGGUAACUUUAAGAAAAGAGGGCUAGAUAACUGCAUGGGUUCAUGAGUUCAGAGCUGGUCAAAGGGCCGUCCCCUGAGACUGUUAGUGACCAGUUGUUUGGCGUUCCCAGGCGAGGUAGCUAUGUCCUCUGGGCCUGUCUGUGUCCUUGCUGUGGUGAACUUUUUUAGCAAUGAUGUAAGUCAAGACCCCGGAGACAUUCUGAUCAUUCUGUUAGUGACCCACUUCUAGGAGAAACAGCUAAGAGUCAAGACUCAAAAAAUACCUUGACCCCUUUGGGUAUAGACCCCAAAGCACUGAAAGCGGGUACAUAUUUGUACAUGUUCACAGCAGCAGCAUUUUUCACAGUAGCCACAAGGAAGAAGACCCCAAGUGUGUGCCCGCAGAUGAGUGGAUAAACCCAAAGUGGUGUAUCCAUGCAAUGGCAUAGUAAUCCGCCUAAAACGGAAGGAAAUUCUGCUACAACCUGUAUGAACCUCCGGGACAGUAGGCUAAGUGAAAUGAGCCAGACCCAAAAGGACAUGUGCCAUCUGAUUCCACUCAUGUGAGAUACCUUAGAUGCACAGAGACAGAAAGUAGAGUGGUGGUGGCCAGGGGCUGGGAGAGAGAGAAAUGGCAAGUUGCUGUUUAAUGGGUGCAGAGUUUCUAUUUUGUAAGACUGAAGAAUUCUGGAAAUGGAUGGUGGUGAUAGUCGCACAAUAAUGUGAAUAUAUUUAAUGCCACUGAACUAUACACAUAAAAAUGGUAAAAUGGUAAGUUUUAUGUUAUAGGUAUCUUACUACAAUUAAAAAAAUUCGUGGAGUUCCUGCUGUGGCGCAGUGGGUUAAGAAUCUGACUGCAGCGGAUCAGGUGGCUGAGGAGGCGUAGGUUUGAUCCCCAGCCCAGGGCAGUGGGUUAAAGGAUCCUAUGUAGCCGCAGCUGCCACAUAGGUCACUGUUGCCGCUCAGGUUCAAUCCUGGGAACUUCCGCAGGCUGUGUGUGCGGCCAUAAAAAAAAAAAAAAAAAAAAAAAA